rnacentral:rRNA from 1 species
AGAGUUUGAUCCUGGCUCAGGAUAAACGCUGGCGGCGCACAUAAGACAUGCAAGUCGAACGGACUUAACCGAAAGUUUACUUUUGGAGCGGUUAGUGGCGGACUGGUGAGUAACACGUAAGCAACCUGCCUAUUAGAGGGGAACAACAGUUAGAAAUGACUGCUAAUACCGCAUAUGCCAUAAUCAUCACAUGAUGAUAGUGGGAAAGGAGCAAUCCGCUAAUAGAUGGGCUUGCGUCUGAUUAGAUAGUUGGUGGGGUAACGGCCUACCAAGUCGAUGAUCAGUAGCCGAGCUGAGAGGCUCUACGGCCACAUUGGGACUGAGAUACGGCCCAGACUCCUACGGGAGGCAGCAGUCGGGAAUAUUGCGCAAUGGAGGAAACUCUGACGCAGUGACGCCGCGUGCAGGAAGAAGGUUUUCGGAUUGUAAACUGCUUUAGACAGGGAAGAAACAAGACAGUACCUGUAGAAUAAGCUCCGGCUAACUACGUGCCAGCAGCCGCGGUAAUACGUAGGGAGCAAGCGUUAUCCGGAUUUAUUGGGUGUAAAGGGUGCGUAGACGGGAAGACAAGUUGGUUGUGAAAUCCCUCGGCUUAACUGAGGAACUGCAACCAAAACUAUCUUUCUUGAGUACUGGAGAGGAAAGUGGAAUUCCUAGUGUAGCGGUGAAAUGCGUAGAUAUUAGGAGGAACACCAGUGGCGAAGGCGACUUUCUGGACAGAAACUGACGUUGAGGCACGAAAGUGUGGGGGAGCAAACAGGAUUAGAUACCCUGGUAGUCCACACCGUAAACGAUGGAUACUAGGUGGUAGGGGGAUGAUAAAUCUUCCUGUGCCGUCGCAAACGCAGUAAGUAUCCCACCUGGGGGAGUACGGGCCGCAAAGGUUGAAACUCCAAAGGAAAUUGACGGGGGGCCCGCACAAGCAGUGGGAGUUAUGUGGGUUUAAUUUCGACCCAACCGCGAAGAAACCUUACCCAGGGGUUGGACUAUUACCGGGAAUAUGCUUAGAGAUAGGUAUAACGUCUUCCGGAGUCUGUAUACAGGUGGUGCAUGGUUGUCGUCAGCUCGUGUCGUGAGAUGUUGGGUUAAGUCCCGCAACGAGCGCAACCCCUGUUUCUAGUUACCAGCACGUUAAGGUGGGGACUCUAGAGAGACUGCCGGUGAUAAAUCGGAGGAAGGUGGGGACGACGUCAAAUCAUCAUGCCCUUUAUGUCCUGGGCUACACACGUACUACAAUGGCUAUUACAAAGAGAAGCGAAGCUGAGAAGUGGAGCAAAACUCAAAAAAGUAGUCUCAGUUCGGAUUGAAGGCUGAAAUUCGCCUACAUGAAGCCGGAAUUGCUAGUAAUGGCAGGUCAGCAUACUGCCGCGAAUACGUUCCCGGGCCUUGCACACACCGCCCGUC